AGGUCUUGCCUGCCCAGUGAAUAAUUAAACGGCCGCGGUAUUUUGACCGUGCGAAGGUAGCGCAAUCACUUGUCUUUUAAAUAGAGACCUGUAUGAAUGGUGGAACGAGGGCUUAACUGUCUCCCCCCUCAAGUCAAUGAAAUUGAUCUGCCCGUGCAGAAGCGGACAUACAAAUACAAGACGAGAAGACCCUUUGGAGCUUAAGAUAAAAAUCACCUAUGUCAAAAACAAACUAAAAUAAAUUAAACCAAAUAGUACCUGAUUUUAAUCUUCGGUUGGGGCGACCACGGGAGAAAACAAAGCUCCCAAGCGGACUGGGACCUAGUCCUACAACUAAGAAAGACACUUCUAAGUACCAAAACAUUUGACCAUAAUGAUCCAGCAAAAUACUGAUCAGCGAAUCAAGUUACCCAAGGGAUAACAGCGCAAUCCUCUUUAAGAGUCCAUAUCGACAAGAGGGUUUACGACCUCGAUGUUGGAUCAGGACAUCCUAAUGGUGCAGCCGCUAUUAAGGGUUCGUUUGUUCAACGAUUAAAGUCCU
rnacentral:rRNA from 1 species